GACGAACGCUGGCGGCGUGCUUAACACAUGCAAGUCGAGCGACGCUCUUCCUUCGGGGAGAUGACGGAGCGGCGAACGGGUGAGUAACACGUGGGCAACCUGCCCCUAGCUCUGGGACAACACCGGGAAACCGGUGCUAAUACCGGAUACGACAUCGAGCGGCAUCUCUCGAUGUGGAAAGUUUUUUCGGCUAGGGAUGGGCCCGCGGCCUAUCAGCUUGUUGGUGGGGUAAUGGCCCACCAAGGCGACGACGGGUAGCCGGCCUGAGAGGGCGACCGGCCACACUGGGACUGAGACACGGCCCAGACUCCUACGGGAGGCAGCAGUGGGGAAUAGUGCGCAAUGGGCGAAAGCCUGACGCAGCGACGCCGCGUGAGGGAUGACGGCCUUCGGGUUGGAAACCUCUUUCAGCAGGGACGAAUUCAGACGGUACCUGCAGAAGAAGCACCGGCAAACUACGUG
rnacentral:rRNA from 1 species